rnacentral:rRNA from 1 species
GUGGGGAAUAUUGGACAAUGGGCGAAAGCCUGAUCCAGCCAUGCCGCGUGUGUGAAGAAGGUCUUCGGAUUGUAAAGCACUUUAAGUUGGGAGGAAGGGCAGUAAGUUAAUACCUUGCUGUUUUGACGUUACCGACAGAAUAAGCACCGGCUAACUUCGUGCCAGCAGCCGCGGUAAUACGAAGGGUGCAAGCGUUAAUCGGAAUUACUGGGCGUAAAGCGCGCGUAGGUGGAUUUGUAAGUUGGAGGUGAAAUCCCCGGGCGCAACCUGGGAACUGCCUCCAAAACUGCAUGACUAGAGUACGGUAGAGGGUAGUGGAAUUUCCUGUGUAGCGGUGAAAUGCGUAGAUAUAGGAAGGAACACCAGGGGCGAAGGCGACUACCUGGACUGAUACUGACACUGAGGUGCGAAAGCGUGGGGAGCAAACAGGAUUAGAAACCCUGGUAGUCC